UACGUAGGGCGCAAGCGUUGUCCGGAAUUAUUGGGCGUAAAGAGCUCGUAGGCGGCUUGUCACGUCGGUUGUGAAAGCCUGCAGCUUAACUGUGGGCUUGCGGUCGAUACGGGCAUCACUGGAGUUCGGCAGGGGAGACUGGAAUUCCUGGUGUAGCGGUGAAAUGCGCAGAUAUCAGGAGGAACACCGGUGGCGAAGGCGGGUCUCUGGGCCGAUACUGACGCUGAGGAGCGAAAGCGUGGGGAGCGAACAGG
rnacentral:rRNA from 1 species